CGCUUGAGUGAUCCUUGGGACGAGCUCUCCACUUCUGUUCGAUCAGUUUCUUCAAUAGAGUUGGCAGUUUCCUUCCCAUGGACUCACGGACUUUCCAUAUGCACAGAUGUUGACCUGGGAUGAUGAUCCUGCAUGUGGAUGAAAGCAUGGCAACUUGUUCUGACACUGAAGGCCAUAUGUCCUUGCAGUAGAAAGCAAACCAGCAUCCCCUUCUUUCAGAAUGUAAGAGUUACACUGCUUCUGAAAGGGGAAAGCACCCAAUUCACUGUCUAUUUUCCCCUUUAGGUGUGCCAAAAUGCUCCUCAACCUUGCCAAUUCUGCUUCAAGAAGUGCCUGCCCUUGUAGUUUUCUCGCUAGUUGCUGAUUCACCAAACGCAAUUUCUUAACUUCCUCCUCCAAGUAUGCUGUGUGUGCCUUCUUCUUCUCCCUAUACUUCCUAACUGCUUCUCGGUUGCCAGAAGGCCUUUUUGAUUUGGAGUUGGUGUGCUCCUUGUGGUCAUCAUCUUCAGGUUCAAAAAUUUGGGUGUGAGUGUGAUAGCAUGUGUGUGUGUGAGCAGCAUCAGGGCCAGGUGGGUUGCAAGUGUGAGUGUGGGUGCAUGUUCUGCUGCUACUCCUACAUAAUUCAGGAACUGUGUUCACUGAUGCUGAAGCCUGAAAACUGCUAGAUGACUCUGGAUUCAAAAAUAGAACAUUAUUUGAAAGCUUAUCAGAAAGCUCAGCAUUUCCAUCAUCCAUGUGUUCUUUCUGCACCCCAAACGAAUAAACAGCAGCAGUCUCUCAACAAAAUGGUGCGUCUGCAACAUCCAUUUGAAAUUAACUACCACUAUGACAUGAAAAUGAAAUAGAACACAGAAAACCUUCCCAAUAUAUUAUGUAAAACAGACGCACACAGACUUAAUAUGGAAUAUAUGCAAAGAAGCAUAUACCUAGAACAAAAAACAGUCAAAGAAUUCAUUUUUGAGGGGUCCUGAUCAAGGAAUAUAUAUCUGACUAAACAAUUGCCCAGGAAUGAUGUCGAAUAGUAUUCUCCUCAAAUUUAGAUGUUGGGGUGACAAAGAUUCCCAAAGAAGCUUAUUUGAGCAAAGUAAAGACUACCCAGUUGGAUUCUCUUCCCAAUAAUACAGCACUGAGCAUAAAGGAAAAACCUUUUUAAAAUUGAAGUGAGAUGGAAGAGGAGAGAGAAUCUAAGGUGUAGUGGAGGCAAGAUGGCAUGGCACAGAAUAACACUAGCCAAAAAACUUGAUGAAGAGUCAUAUGGAAGAGCCAAUAAAGGAACAAGAGUGUGCUUUCUUUGUGUUAGAAAUUAGAGAUGAAAGAUUAGAGAUUGGAUUGAAUUACCUGGCCCUUGGUGGCACCAGAAGCAUGACUGUUUGUUUUAUUAUAUGUAACUUUCAAGAUUCGUUCUUGGUAGGAUUCAGGCCAUGGAAAAGGGUGAGCCUCUGAGAAGUCUAUGCGUUGCUCCAGAUUGUUCUUUAGCCUUAAUUUGCGUGUUAAGGGUAAGUGAGAGGAUUGUAUUGUGAGGUACAAGAAGUGGAACUAUUCUUCCACUCACAAGCAUGACUCAUGACGAUGGGACCUCCUUGUAGACAUUUUCUCUUUCUGAGA
rnacentral:sRNA from 1 species